CUGUUUGGCGCGCCCUUCUUUCCGGAGACCGCGGCUAUUCUUAACUGAGCUGGCGUGGGAGACGGAUCGUUUACUUUGAAAAAAUCAGAGUGUUUCAAGCAGGCAGCUCGCUCUUGCAUGGUACAGCAUGGGAUGAUAGAAUAGGACUCCGGUGCUAUUUUGUGGGUUUCGAACACCAGGAGUAAUGAUUAACAGGGACAGUCAGGGGCACUCGUAUUCCGUCGAGAGAGGUGAAAUUCCCAGACCAAUGGAAGACGAAUCACUGCGAAAGCAUUUGCCAGGGAUGUUUUCACUGAUCAAGAACGAAAGUUAGGGGAUCGAAGACGAUCA
rnacentral:rRNA from 1 species